rnacentral:rRNA from 1 species
GUCCUGGCUAAGGAUGAACGCUAGCUACAGGCUUAACACAUGCAAGUCGAGGGGCAGCAUGGUCUUAGCUUGCUAAGGCUGAUGGCGACCGGCGCACGGGUGAGUAACACGUAUCCAACCUGCCGUCUACUCUUGGCCAGCCUUCUGAAAGGAAGAUUAAUCCAGGAUGGGAUCAUGAGUUCACAUGUCCGCAUGAUUAAAGGUAUUUUCCGGUAGACGAUGGGGAUGCGUU